GUACUCACUUCGGCAGCACAUAUACUAAAAUCGGAAUAAUACAGAGAUUAGCAUGGCCCCUGAGCAAGGAUGACACGCAAAUUUGAGAAGUGUUCCAUAUUUUA